GAGAGAGAAAGAGAGAGAGAGAGUGGACUCCAUUGGAUUUCAAGAACAAAACAUAAAGGCAGCAAAAGGAGGGUGUCAAGACAAAGAGAUCUGGCCAGGAAAUUUUCUUUUCUUUUUCUUUUCUUUUCUCUUUAGUAACUUCAAGAAACCUUUCAUGGCUCCUCUGCCUCUCUUAUCUCCAUAAAGAAAUCUUCACUGAGAUCAUCACCACUACCAAAAUACGCCAAGAAAACAUCCGAGAGGAGAGAGAGAGAGAGAGAUCUUAAUUACUAUUGCUUACUUACCCCCACCAAGAACAACUGAGUUAUCAAGUUAAAUACCACCACCUACGUACCAAUGCUGCUUAGAAAUUCCAUCUCCAACGCCAAAAAGUUCUUCAAGAAAUCCCUGCAAAACUUGCGGAAUUUCUUUUCCAGUGGUUCUUACCAGAGGAUGUCCAAAACCUCUCCCUACAAUAAUCCAUGUUCUUACAGUCAUCUUCUUACCACUGACAUGAAUGUCCAAACAAGCUUCAACGCCAAAGAUUUGGACACGUUCUACAAUGACUUCAACGACAGUUGGAACGCCGUCGACGAAGGGAAAGCAAAGAAGAGAAAGAAGAAGAAGAGAAUACCACCAUCAUCGUCACCAGCCAAAGAAGAAAAAAAGGAGUUAAAUGGAAGUUUCAUGAAGUUCUCCAAGGCCAUUCCUGCUAAAAAUAAUCAGAUAAAAAGAAGGGAGGACUACAACUAUAAUCAUAAAACCAAAGUGAAGGGUUCUCAGGGAGGAGGGAAAAGAUGGCAGCAAAAUAGUUCAAGAGAUGAGGGAAGGAGUUGUUUGGUGGCACAGAAGCUAAAAGAGGUAGAGAUGAUGGAUAUUAGCAAUGUGCAUCAUGUCCUGGACAUAGAAGAGUUUCUCCAUUAUUAUUCUCGCUUGACAUGCCCUGCAUAUCUGGACAUUGUAGACAACUUCUUCAUGGACAUGUAUGCAGAAUUCUUGGCUCCACCUGGUUCGCUGUGUAAAUUCAACGCAAACUAGGCUGCUGCCUUCAGUCUCAGUGAGGUCAUAGAGAUCACUUUUCUCCUUCUAAGAAGAAUUGGAAAGGAAAUGGCAACUGGGAAUUUCUCUGACAUUAUUUCAGGUUGUCCUUUUUUUUUUUCCUUCAACAUUUCUAUUCCCUUUGCGCCUGGAGUUGGCUAUUGUUCUAUGUAAUCAGUUUCUAAUUAUCAGUUUAUUACUUUUCAAAUUUUUUUUUUUACUAUUGACUUUAAUUAGAACUAAACUUCAG
rnacentral:misc_RNA from 1 species